rnacentral:rRNA from 1 species
UACGUAGGGUGCGAGCGUUGUCCGGAUUUAUUGGGCGUAAAGAGCUCGUAGGCGGUUUGUCGCGUCGGCCGUGAAAUCUCCACGCUUAACGUGGAGCGUGCGGUCGAUACGGGCAGACUUGAGUUCGGUAGGGGAGACUGGAAUUCCUGGUGUAGCGGUGAAAUGCGUAGAUAUCAGGAGGAACACCGGUGGCGAAGGCGGGUCUCUGGGCCGAUACUGACGCUGAGGAGCGAAAGCGUGGGGAGCGAACAGG